rnacentral:rRNA from 1 species
AUGAGUAUCCUGAGUUGGAACUGUCGGGGCCUUGGGCAGCCCCGGACAGUUCAAGAGUUGGUAUGCCUUGUGCAUACCUAUCGCCCUAAGAUCGUCUUCUUGUCUGAAACAAGGCAAUGCGAAGAGAAAGUGAAAAGAAUAAGAUACAUAAUAGGUCUAAGGCACUGCCUUACCCAUGACGGUAAGGGUAAAGGUGGUGGCAUUGCUUUGUACUGGGAUGAUCAAAUAAAUAUAAAAUUGUUGUCGUAUGGGCCUCGGUAUUUUGAUGUGCUUGUUUGUGAUGAUCCCCAUGGCCCUCCGUGGCGGGGAACCUUUGUUUAUGGUGAACCCAGAUCUCAAGAUAGGCAUCUUAUGUGGACUCUGUUAAAAAGGAUCAGACCAAAUGCCACUGAGCCUUGGCUGAUGAUCGGUGAUUUUAAUGAGAGGAUGUGGCAAUCCGAACACUUUUCAUGUGCUAGAAGAUCUGAAGGACAAAUGGCAAGAUUUAGAAAUAUGUUAUGGUGUUGCAAUCUUCAUGACUUGGGGUUCAGGGGAAGGCCAUGGACCUAUGAUAACAAACAAGGGGGUGAUAGAAAUGUGAGAGCAAGGAUUGAUAGAGGAGUGGCAUCCCCAUGUUGGAUGGAUCUAUUCAAAGAAGCUACGGUGACUCACAUUACUACUGCCAGGUCUGACCACUUUCCACUCCUUCUUUGUUAUGCUGGUGACCCGGUUAACAGAAGAGGGCCGAGGCCUUUUCGCUAUGAACAUAUGUGGGAGAGAGACUCAACUUAA